AUUGAACGCUGGCGGCAGGCCUAACACAUGCAAGUCGAACGAGUGGCGGACGGGUGCGUAAUGUCUGGGAAACUGCCCGAUGGAGGGGGGUAACUACUGGAAACGGUAGCUAAUACCGCAUACCAUCGGAUGUUCCCAGAUGGGAUUAGCUAGUAGGUGGGGUAACGGCUAACCUAGGCUACGAUCCCUAGCUGGUCUGAGAGGAUGACCAGCAACACUGGAACUGAGACACGGUCCAGACUCCUACGGGAGGCAGCAGUGGGGAAUAUUGCACAAUGGGCGCAAGCCUGAUGCAGCCAUGCCGCGUGUAUGAAGAAGGCCUUCGGGUGGUAAAGUACUUUCAGCGAGGAGGCGUUACUCGAAGAAGAAGCACCGGCUAACUCCGUGCCAGCAGCCGCGGUAAUAC
rnacentral:rRNA from 1 species